UCAAGCGUGAGGUAAGAGCAUUUGGUGAAUGCCUUGGCAUAUACAGGCGAUGAAGGACGUGGCACGCUGCGAUAAGCGUGGGGGAGCCGUGAGCAGGCUUUGAUCCCACGAUUUCCGAAUGGGGAAACCCAUCCUCACUAUUUAAUUUCGCUGCUGAGCAAUCAGUGUCGGAGUUAAAUAGGAAGGAUAUCACUUAGCUGAAUAAAAUAGGCUUAGUGAAGCGAACCCGGAGAACUGAAACAUCUCAGUACCCGGAGGAAAAGACAUCAACCGAGAUUCCGUUAGUAGUGGCGAGCGAACGCGGACCAGGCCAGUGCCUGGAAGUGAGUUAGCAGAACAGUUUGGAAAGACUGGCCAUAGCGGGUGACAGCCCCGUAUGCGAAAGCAAGCUUUCAGGACUCGAGUAGGGCGGGACACGUGAAAUCCUGUCUGAACAUGGGGGGACCACCCUCCAAGCCUAAAUACUCGUGCAUGACCGAUAGCGAACUAGUACCGUGAGGGAAAGGUGAAAAGCACCCCGAUGAGGGGAGUGAAACAGUACCUGAAACCGAAUGCUUACAAUCAGUUGGAGCCUCUUUAUGGGGUGACAGCGUACCUCUUGUAUAAUGGGUCUGUGACUUAAUGUAUCAUGCAAGCUUAAGCCGUUAGGUGUAGGCGUAGCGAAAGCGAGUCUGAAUAGGGCGACUGAGUAUGAUGCAUUAGACCCGAAACCCGGCGAUCUAGGCAUGACCAGGUUGAAGGUGCGGUAACACGCACUGGAGGACCGAACCGUUUAAUGUUGAAAAAUUAUCGGAUGAGUUGUGUUUAGGGGUGAAAGGCCAAUCAAGCCGGGAAAUAGCUGGUUCUCCGCGAAAUCUAUUGAGGUAGAGCGUCAGAUGUAUUCCGAUGGGGGUAGAGCACUGGAUGGGCUAGGGCUGCGCGAGCGGUACCAAACCUAACCAAACUCCGAAUACCAUCGAGUCUUGUCUGGCAGACAGACGGCGGGUGCUAAGGUCCGUCGUCAAAAGGGAAACAGCCCUAACCUACAGCUAAGGUCCCCAAGUCAUCACUAAGUGGGAAAGCAUGUGGGAUUUCCAAAACAACCAGGAGGUUGGCUUAGAAGCAGCCAUCCUUUAAAGAAAGCGUAACAGCUCACUGGUCUAAAUAAGAGAUCCUGCGGCGAAAAUGUAACGGGGCUAAAGAUAUGUACCGAAGCUUAGGGUGUGCAAUUUAUUGCAUGCGGUAGCGGAGCGUUCCGUAGGCCGAUGAAGCGAUCUGGUAAUGGGUCGUGGAGGUAUCGGAAGUGCGAAUGCAGACAUGAGUAGCGAUAGGAGGGUGAGACACCCUCCCGCCGAAAGACCAAGGGUUCCUGCUUAAAGCUAAUCUGAGCAGGGUAAGCCGGCCCCUAAGACGAGCCCGAAGGGGGUAGUCGAUGGGAACCACGUUAAUAUUCGUGGGCCUGGUGGUGUGUGACGGAUCUCGUGAGUUGUCAGUCCUUAUUGGAUUGGACUGGCUUCGAAGAGGUUCCAGGAAAUAGCCCCACCGUAUAGACCGUACCCGAAACCGACACAGGUGGUCAGGUAGAGUAUACCAAGGCGCUUGAGAGAAGUAUCCUGAAGGAACUCGGCAAAUUGCCUCCGUACCUUCGGAAGAAGGAGGCCCUCACAUUGCGCAAGCAGUAUGAGGGGGCACAGGCCAGGGGGUAGCGACUGUUUAGCAAAAACACAGGACUCUGCUAAGUCGGCUUCAAGACGACGUAUAGGGUCUGACGCCUGCCCGGUGCUGGAAGGUUAAGAGGAGGAGUGCAAGCUCCGAAUUGAAGCCCCAGUAAACGGCGGCCGUAACUAUAACGGUCCUAAGGUAGCGAAAUUCCUUGUCGGGUAAGUUCCGACCUGCACGAAUGGCGUAACGACUUCCCCACUGUCUCCAGGAUAUGCUCAGCGAAAUUGAAUUCUCCGUGAAGAUGCGGAGUACCCGCGGUUAGACGGAAAGACCCCGUGCACCUUUACUGCAGCUUCAGAGUGGCAUUAGGAAAGAACUGUGUAGAAUAGGUGGGAGGCUUUGAAACUUGGGCGCCAGUUCGAGUGGAGCCGUAAUGUGAAAUACCACCCUGUUGUUUUCUGAUGUCUAACCCAGGACCGUUAUCCGGUUC
rnacentral:rRNA from 1 species